AUCAGAUCGGUCCUCCUCCUCCAGCUCUGAGGUCAUUCAGAGAAAGCUGAGGAUAAAAUGCAGCUACUCCCUCUGGAGCAGGCGGCACACGGUGUUCUUGUGCCUGAUAAAUGUACCAAGAACUUCAUUAUCUGAUGAGGAAGGCUCCCGGGCCGCCCACGCCUGCUGCCAAGCCAGCCGAGGGCGUUGCUGCAGGUGGGAAGCAGCGUGGGACGGCUGGGCCCGCCUCCUUGAGCCAAAGCCCCUAAUGAGGCCAGCUCAGGAAGAUUCCUCUGGACCAGUCUCAGCCUCAGCAGGAGGGACGGACAGGGACUUUGGACAAGACUGAGGCUCUGAGAGGUUGUGGAGGUGUCACCCAGCUGGAUAAGGGUCAGAAAUAAGAUGGAAAGUAUUCCGAUCUCUGUAAUGACAAUACCCAGCACUUACACAGAACCUUCUACGGGACCCGCACGGCACAUCUAUUCACUCAUUCAAUCCUCCAGCAACCCACGAGGGCAGGACUGUCGCUGUCUUGGUGCCACACGCGAGGAAACUGAGGCACAGAGAAAGAAGCUCGCCAAAGAUAAGGAAAUGGAGAGCUCUGAGAUAUCACAGGGAGCAAGUGGCAGCCAGGAUUGCCAUCCAGAGCUAUUGAGCUCCAAACUCCACACUCUCCCAGUAUAUGGUGCUGCCACUCUACUGUUGCAUGCUGGAGUGCUCACAGGGAAGAAACAUAAAGAGGAGGGAGCUUGUGUCAAAGCUGCGGGAGAUGAAUGAGCCUAGCUGGGCCAGCGGCGGAGGGGAGGCUGGCUACAGCCGGUGUGUGGCCUCUGCACACACACACCCCGGCAAACAUGUCCUUUGGAAUGUGACCGAGACUCAGGCCGAAGACCCUUGGUGCAGGACUUGCCACCUCCAAACCCUGAUGCCACCACGGCUGGGAGCUCACGUCAACCUGAGGCUGAAGCAUGCCUGUCACAGGGUCUUGGGCUGAGUUCCCACUGGUUGUACCUCUGGGAAGAUGACCCCCAUUCUCUUUGUUAUGUAAGUGGCUCUCUAGGGGCCCGAGGGAAACUACAGCCUGCACAGUGGAGGCAGUGUGGCUGCGCUGUGCCUUCCAUCAAGGUCUGUUCUGGGAGCCCCCCAGGCCACACCUGCCUCCACUGCUGCUCGGCCACCCAGGAGGCCAAGGCAAACAGAUGAC
rnacentral:lncRNA from 1 species